rnacentral:lncRNA from 1 species
CGCCGCCGCCGCCUUCCACCCCGCCGCCCCGCGACCGCUAGGAAGUACACAAUCCCUCCCAUCUAAUGCACAAACCCCCUGGUCGCUUAUGCCUGUGCCUAUUGCCUAAGGCACUAGAUAUCUUGCCCAGGGAGUCUCAGACCUUAAUAUGUUCAGCGUGCGUAAAGUUUUCUCAAAUUCAUGCUGACUUCAGAAUCUGUCAUGAGUAAUCAAAGUCAUUAAGUAACCGGAUUCAUCCAAUGUGAUCCCUCCAUGAGACUUGCAAGAUUAACUCUGCUUAACAUUUCAGGGACUUGAGAAUAAAAUUACUUAACUGGGCCGUUACCAGCAUUCAUUGGAGAACUAACUGCUCUGGAAUCCAUGUAAUACUCUGAACUCAAAACAGUGAUGCAGUUCCUGCAUUCAAGCAAUCUUACAUUCUUUUCCUUGUAAAUCACAAGGACUGUCGGCAUCAAUGCAUUAUCUGGACCUAUCCCAAAGGAGCUUGGAAAUCUUGUCUUUUCCUUGUAAAUCACAAGGACUGUCGGCAUCAAUGCAUUAUCUGGACCUAUCCCAAAGGAGCUUGGAAAUCUUGACUAAUGUUGAUGCUCAGUUACUAUCAUGCAUCUGUUGUUAUACUUGCCUUUCACUUGCACGAAAGUCAUGCGGCUGUAUGCAUGUAGUGUGCCUCUCAAGCAUUAUGGCAUUAUAUUGAAUAUGAUCUGAUCUCAAAAGUUAAUAUAAUAUUGUGGAAGUGAGAAUCUGAUGGAAAAAAAUGAGCAUCGUCCCCAUCAAAUAUUCAUCAGCUUUUCAAUUGCCUAAAAGUACGUAACAACACUUUGUUUUGGACAUUUCUUUGGAGCUAACCUAGUUUAAUUAAUUAUUUCUUUCAGGGCAUUGGGCUCAAACAAUUUUAACGGCACACUUCCUGAUGAGCUGGGCAAAUUGACAAAACUUAGACAAAUGUAAAUCAUCUAUUUGGUCGCUUUACAUGUCUUCAUAAUCACCUAUGCUUUCGUUACUGUUUAGAGUGAUAACUUUAUGCAUGAGACAACUGAAAAAUGUUAUCCAUCUUUGAGCUGCAGAUACAUUGAUAGUAAUGACUUCAGUGGUCCUCUACCAUCGACAUUGUCACAACUGAAGAACCUCUCAGUCUUGUAAUUUUUUAAAAUGAGAUAUCAACUCGUAAAUUUCUUCUUUCUUCUGAGGUAGAAACCAAUAAUCUUGCACACCCUUGUCAUCAUGCAUCCAGGUGGGCAUCAGACCAUAAUUUCACUGGGGAGAUACUUGAUUAUCUCGGGAGCUUGACUAACUUGACUGAACUGUAAGAUCUAUAUUUGACAACCACUAAGGUCUUAAUAUUUUUCAAAUUGUUUUCUCAACAGUAAUAGUAAGGAAAGUUAUUCAUUGUUCUGGAGAAGUGCAAGACAUUGCAUAUCUACGGAUCUACCUGCAUCAUCGGUUUCUAUAGCACAAUUACAUUUAUCAUGAGGAACUAGCUUAGGUAUUACUACUUUACUGACCAGAUAUCUAUGAAUUUCCAGGAGGCUCCAAGGGAAUAUUCACCUGAACUUAUACUCUGUUGUACAUUGCAGUUAUACUACUGCCCAGAAUGACAUCUUGGUGGCGGGCCGGUUGCUGCGGUGGGUUGGGCCGGAAGGCCGGCCUGGCUGGAAAGAGGAGCCUGCUGAUGGCUUGGGCCGGAGCGGCCUGAGAAGGUAAGGGGUGGCGGCCUGCGGGCCGGUUGCUGCGGCGGGUUGGGCCGGAAGGCCGGCCUGGCUGAAGAGGCAUGGCGAGAAGCGGGUGGAACAUGGAAUUUUUUUAUUUUUUUAUUUUUUUUACGAAUUUGUAGAAAUAUACAAUGGAAUCAAAAAUUUGCAAAAACAGGAUUAUACCGCGGCUGAAACGACGGUAGAGUCCUUGUACCGACACCCACGUGCGGGCUUAUGUUGUCAGAUGAAACGACGGUAAGGGGCGGUAGGGUACCCUGCCUGUUUGGUGACGUCGUUUCAGCGACCGAACGACAAAAGGGACCGAACGACUUGAGGAUAAAAAAAGAUCCGCCCCGGCUCUCCACGACACGGAGAGCUGACACGAUGUUGUUAUCCUCGUAUAAAAAAAGCUCCAAAGCGAGAAAAAGGCAUAAACAGGAGAGCCAUGCAGUGCGUUGUCACCGUCUAAAGGGGGUGUUUGGGAGGAGGCUAAAUUUCAGAUUUUAGCUCUCUCCUCCCAAACACCAGGGCUAAAAUGGAGGGGCUAAACAUUAGCCCCCAUAAUUCAUUAGCCCCUCCAAGAGGUGCUAAAAUGGGCUAAAGUGGGCUAAAAGUGGUCCCCUCAUACCAAUUUCCACCCCCUGCCCCCUCUCUCCUCCCCGCAUCGCCCGACUCCGCCUCGCCCGACUUCGCCUCGCCUCGCCGGCCCCACCACUGCCGGCGCCACCUCCGCCUCGCCUCGUCGGCGCCACCUCCGCCUUACCUCGCCGGCCCCGCCACCACCGCCGCCGCCUUUGCCGGCCUCCCCUCUGCCGGGUCCUGCCGCCACCGCCGGGCUCCCCUCCGCCGUGCCCCGCCGCCUCCACCUCCGCCGGGCUCCCUUCCGCGCCGGCCGACCCCAUCUCCUCCAGCCGGACCCGCCGCCUCCGCCCACCCCCGUGGCCUCCGGUGACCCCGCCGCCUCCGGCUGCCCCCGCGGUCUCCGGCGACCCACGCUUGGGAGGAUUUUGUGUGCUGUGCUGCCGAUUGCAUGAGGAAGAAGGAAGAAAAUGGGAGGAGGGGAAGGUGGGGGUAUUGUUGUCUUUUAUCCAUCAAAGUGCUAAAAUUUAGCCUCCCAUCCAAACACUUCAGGUGCUAAACUUUAGCCCUUUCAUUUGAGUAGGCUAAACUUUAGCCCCUUCCUCCCAAACAGACCCAAAGAUCCCAUGCAGAGAUCGCACGCUAGCUUUCGUUUGGUAGUGUCGUCACCAUCUAACAUCUUCAGUCUAGGAAUUUGGUGGACAACCGUUGAGCGGUAAGGCGCUACCGCCAGCUGAAACGGCGGUAAGGAUCCUACCGUCAUUUCACCCGGCGGCAUAAGUCCACUUGUAGCCAUUUUUUAUUUCACUAUAUAUUUCUGCAAAUUCAUAAAAAAAUAAAAAGUUUGUAAGAGGGCUUUGUGGAGAACUGUCCAGAAGCUGAGUGUUUCCAAAAUGUGAAGGUCUUGUGAUCAUGGUUGUAGAUCAAUGUCUUUUCUCCAAGGCAUCUAGCAGUAGGAGCGUGUAGGUGGUCAAUCAGGAGCUCUAUGAUAUAUACUCAUAAUUAGUAUCCAAACAUUCGAUGUGACAGUGUAGUAUAGUUUAGCAUGAGCAUCCAAACACGCAAAGAUGAUUGGCUUCCCACAUUUGGUGAGAUCUUACGUGAAAAGGGAGAGAGAGAGAGGAUUAGCAGUUUACACCGAGCUGGCUGAGUUGUGAAAAGCUCGGGUGUAAGUUAGAGUUAGUCAUGUUAGAUUUUUAUUAUGCUAUUUAUAUACUAGCUUUAGUUUGUAUUUUUUGAUCUAAUCCAAAAAUACAAACUUACCUUUGAGAUCUAAAUUAAAUCAAAUAAAAUCCAAAUCACUUGUGCAAGCAUGUUUUAAAUUUAAAUGCAUAAUUUAAUUACUACCUUUUUCAAUUUAGAGGAAAGAAUUGAGGGUUGACCUUAAAUUUUACCAAGUAUUUAUAUGCUUCACAUAAUCAAACAAAAAGUUUUCAUUUUUGCAAAAAUUAGCACAAUUAAUAUCACUCAAUUUUGAGGGAUAUUACACUUUUGUCAUGAUUUAAAGUUGGCCCGUGAAUAAAAGGGCUUUAGUCCCGACGCAACCCUCCAUGUCUCCGUACACACGAGUGGACUUGUUGAAUGAUCGGCUCAGAAAGAGUGCCUUGCCUUCAGGUAGUGUAUCACGAUCCGUGACUGAAACCCAUCUGCCAGCAUCGAUGUCCGCCUUGAAGAUCUUGACCUUGCAAGUGUACUUGGGGUCAAAUGGAGAUGAUUCAUCAGCAGCAUCUGCAAUUACCUUGAGGGACACUGAGAAUAGCUUCCUGUGGUACCGUAAUCCCAGAGAGUUGUGGUGCUGUAAUCCCAGAGCCGAGCGGCCACCCGCCGCUGUCGGGUGCCCACAACGAGUACUGCCUCCGGAGCUCCUGGAUCUUCGGCUGGAUCCGCUUCCACACGAACUCAACCUCCAUGAUGGGCGCCCCCACCGCGACGGGCGAUAGUGGGGGUAUGGGCCCCGCAAGCGCUGACACCGACGUGAGGAGGUGCUCAAGCUCAUAGUCGGCGGCCAUGGCGAGCAGCGGGAACGCGGGGCCUGACGGCGAGGAGGAGGAGGAGAAGCUCCUGGUGCGCGGCCAUGGCGAGCGGCGGGCGUCCGGGGGCGGUGGAUGGAGGUGGAGGAAUUGCGCAAGUGUGUGCGGGAGAAAAAAUAAAACGGGAUGAAACGAACCGGUAUGUCCGUAAUUUAUGGUAGGUGGGUAAUUUUUUACCCUAAAAUCACUUGAAAACAGGGGAAGGUGCCUUUUGUUUUGUACCGGAGCAAAAGUAACUUUUGGGCAAAAGCACAUGUGGCUUUUAGGUUAGCUUUCGACUUUUGCAAAAGUAAAACCAGGUUGAAAAACUCAAUCAAAUGUACCCUAAUAAACUUGCGGACGCAGACUUAACUAUAAAACUGUUGUGCAAGGUCUGGAAGCAAGUACACCGCGGAAUUCAAAGUAUUUCUUCUGACCAACUCGCACAGGUCAAGAGCAUAGUUCGUGGCUAUUCCAAGAAAUCGUACGAAGAUAAAACCUUUUCUUCGCUACUGUCAUCAUCAGAAUGAGGUGACAUGAUUUAGUAGCUCAUAUAAGAUGUAGGCAUGUAGCGUCUAAACGACUUUAAUAGUUCGGCAUGCACCCACCCAUCAACUUUCAGUGCUCUCUUUUGUAAGGAUUAAUUCAUUGUUUAUUGUUGGCUAAAAUGAUGACCAUGAACAUAUUCUCAAGAGUUUCUGUGCCCGUUUAAGACAUUUGAAGGUUAAAGAAAGCACCAUCAACAAGAAACAGAUUUGUAAACACAGAGGGAAGGGUCAAUCUCCCCCUACACGGAUGCAUUGAACAAACUAUUAUUGAUGCUUUGAACAAAAUCUAGUGCUGCUUGUGCGUCAAACCACGAAUUUUGGAGGGAAAAGCCAUGUCAACCACUUAUCAUCAGCCCGUAUUCUCUGCCAUGGAAGGCUAAACGGCCUGCAAGACGAGGAUCUGGUGUCGAAUACUUGGUCCACAUCCACAAAAUAUAUGCAACCCUCCUUCAUGUCUCCAUACAUACGGGUGGACUUGCUGAAUGAUCGGCUGAGAAAGAGUGUCUCGCCUUCAGAUAGCGCAUCACGACCCGUGACUGAAACCCAUCUGCCGGCAUCGAUGUUCGCCUUGAAAAGCUCGACCUUGCGAGUGUAAUCGGGUCAAAUGGAGGUGAUUGCACCUGCCGCCUCACCAUGAGCAACUCUUGGCCGCCGCAUGACUCGACAAGGAACCUACUGGUCGUGAUGUAGUCCUUGGGUUCAUACGGCACCUCCUCGUCCACCCCAACCUCGUCAUCGCUUGGAACCAGCUGGCCAUCAUCAGGAUUGAAGCUAUCAUCGCCACCACCAUCAUCGGUAUCGUAGUCGUCAUCCAUCCAGCUCCACGGGUCUUCUUCACCAUCAGCUAACGGGUGCCUGAUGACUCGCUUAAAUUUGGGAAUAAUUGGAAAUGUGCGGUAGAAUACCAUUAUGUAUCACUAGUUAGUUUCCUUUUCUUUUUGUGACGGCCCUAUCCAAAGUUCAGUUAGACAGCAAAAAAAAAAAGAGUUCUAUGUACAAUUGUUGAUUUCAGAAAAGUACAGUGAAAUGAUCACCGUUGCUCAAUCCCGGAGGCACUUCAUCCAGCGGAAAGGUGAGGUUAAGCCGGGGGUCAGUAACAAGCUCAGUAGUAUGCAGCAACAACGCUCUAAAAACAGGGGCGUAGCCGGAAACUUGAUUUUUCCAUUGUUAGGGAGGCAACAGUGGUAAAAAAAAUUUUCAAAAAUUUGAUAGAAUUCAAAAAAUAUUAGUGGAAAAUUGGAAGCCAUAGGGGGCCGUUGAGCUGUGGCGCUCAGGUUUGUUACUCCGCUUGUGGUAUGCUGACAGGAUCUCCUGUUCUCGAGACAGGCACGAGGCCAGAGCUAUACCAACUACUAAAUCAAAAAACUAUACUAGUUUCGUAAUACAAAGGUACGCAACUCUCUUACAUAUUCUCGAUAAAAAAAAGAAACUAUACAAUACCACACAUGUAGAAAGCAGGCACGGCUCAGCCGCAUGUAGCAGUAAGCAGUAUCGAUGGACGACCAUUUCUUUUUCUUUUUUUUAUCCAUUUCAUUCAUUGACCAAACUCAAUCGUGUUACUAGUUGGAAUCGAUCAGAGAAAUUGACUAGCAAUGCUAUUUACAACAAAAUACUAUCUUCAAAUGAAAAGAGAUACCAUAUAUGUUGUAUGAAAGUAAUGCAAAUGAUGGUUUGUCAAUCUAUAUAAAAUUCUAGGCAUUUCAUUCAUGGUUAAAGGUAAAGAAGAUUGGCCUAAUAGUUAUUAACAAGUCUAGAUGAACUUGUUAUUCGAACAGGAGGAAGGAAGUAGCUGGUUUCCCGAGCCAUGCGUUCACAGGUUUUCUCCAGUCAUCUGCUCCCAUGACGGCUAGACGAGCACAUGCCCAUGCCAACUUGCACUGACCAGCUCGCGACACGCUCAAACCAGCACGUAUAAAAUGCCUCCUUGUAGGGGCUUAAGCACACACAACAAUCGCUCAGCAGGCAGCAAUUCGAUCGUGUUCGACCUCCCUUCUUCAUCCAAGACGGAAUGGCGGCACCGUCGCGGCGGCCGACGCUCGCCGUCGUCGUCCUCGGCGCCUUUCUGUGCUCGCUGGCGGCGGCGCUCUCCUCCGCGGAGGCCAAGGUGCACCACCACACGUGGGACAUCGCCUACCGCCGCAAGUCACUGGACUGCUUCGAGAAGCUGGCCGUGACCGUCAACGGCGAGGCGCCCGGCCCGACCAUCCGCGCCACGCAGGGCGACACCGUCGCGGUCACCGUGCGCAACAUGCUCGAGACCGAGAACACGGGCAUCCACUGGCACGGCAUCCUCCAGCGGGGCUCGCCGUGGGCCGACGGCACCGUCGGCGUCACACAGUGCCCCAUCCUGCCCGGCGAAUCCUUCACCUACAGAUUCGUCGUCGACAGGGUGAGCGUGCACGUACGCCAACUGCUACAGCUACAACAUUUUCAUCUGAGCUGAUGAGUCAACCUAUCCGACGUACGACGUGGUUUAAUUUUAGCCGGGCACGUACUUGUACCACGAGCACUACGGGAUGCAGCGCGUCGCCGGGCUCGACGGCAUGCUCGUCGUGUCGGAGUCGGACGGCGUCGUCAAGCCCUUCACCUACGAUGAGGAGCCACCGUCCUCCUCAUGGACUGGUGGCACAAGAGCGUCUACGAGCAGGCCGUCGGGCUCGCGUCCGACCCCCUAGAGUUCGUCGGCGAGCCACAGUCUCUGCUGAUCAACGGUCGAGGAAUGUUCGGCUGCUUUCCUGCUGCUCCCGGCGGCGCCUGCAAUGCCUCGUGCGCCUUGCCGGCGCUGUUCACCGCCGUGCCGGGGAAGACCUACCGCGUCCGCACUCGUCGCUCAACUUCGAGAUCGAGGGCCACUCGAUGACGGUGGUGGAAGCCGACGGGCACUACGUGAGGCCGGUGGUCGUGGACAGCCUCUUCGUCUACUCCGGCGAGACGUACUCGGUUCUAGUCAAGGCCGACCAGGACCCGUCCCGGAACUACUGGGCCGCGUCCCACGUCGUCGGCCGCAGGCGGGAGACACCGAGCGCCCUGGCCGUCCUGAGCUACGCCGGGAACGACCCGCGGUCGCCGCCGCCAGCGGGCCCCGCGUGGGACGACGCGGCGCCCAGGGUAGCGCAGAGCAGGUCCCCCGCCGCCGCGCACCCGGACCACGUCCUCCCCGCGCCGCCGAGGCCCGACCGCACGCUCCUCCUCCUCAACACGCAGAACAGGAUCGACGGCCACGUGCGGUGGGCCAUCAACGGCUUGUCGCUCCGGUUCCCGGCGACACCGUACCUCGUCUCGAUGAAGCGCGGGCUCCGGGGCGCGUACGACGACCAGCGCCCCCCGGCGGACGCGUACGACAACUACAGGAGCUUCGACAUCGCCUCGCCGCCGGCGGCGAACGGGACGGUGGCGAGCGCGGCGUACCGGCUGGCGCUGGGGUCGGUGGUGGACGUGGUGCUGCAGAACACGGCGGCGCUCAACGGCAGGAGCGAGACGCACCCGUGGCACCUCCACGGGCACGACUUCUGGGUGCUUGGCUACGGCGAGGGCAAGUUCGAGCAGCAUUCGCUGAACAUCCUGAGAUCAGAAGAGUCUGAUCCUCUCCAAGAUCAGAAGAGUCUGAUCCUGUGGCAGACUACGCAGGUGUUAUGGCUCGCAUAGGCCGUAAAAAGAAAGCUAGCAGCAUUCGCUGAACAUCCUGAGCUUUGCCUGAAGGCUAUUUGUGCCCUCUAUCGGAAGCAAACUCAGGAGGAACAGUUGGAAAAGGCUGCUUUACUUCAUAAUAAGCAGGGAUUUAGCCACAUGGAUGCCCAUUGGUAUGUUGCUGUGCUAACUAUUUAGUUUAUUUUCUUGCAGAUUCAUUGCUAAUCAGAAGAAGCAAGGGGAUGGUUGUGGAAAUAUUCAUUUAACUAGUCUUCCUUUAGGUGAAAAAAAUGAUGUAAAGUCAUUGGGUGGUUGCAACUUCUACUGCGUGCUCUGUUUAUUUGUUUAUUUCAAUUUGGAAAGUAGUACUAGUACCUUAUUUUCGUCCAUAUGUUACUGUAGUUUUUUUUUAUAGCAAGAUACAUCACGUGGGUUGAACUGCUAAAUGUGACAAAAUUUCUUGUUACAACUUAAUAUUGUAUUAGUUUAAUACUCUGCAUUGCUACUGAGGUAUUGCCGAUAAUUUGAUGCACAUAGACACUGUAAAAUAAGUAAUUAACUAAAAAAUCUACAUAGAUUCGCUAAGUUUUUUUAAAGAUUGGUCAUCAUAACGCUCAAAAAGGUUGUCUAUGGUUUUGUUCAUCUAAAAGGUUUAGGUUGAGGACCUUGCUCAGGGGAAAUUUCAGUGCUAUGUAACUCGCACAACCAUAUUGAUGCGUUUGCUUUAGCUCCUAGUCUACUGUAAUAUUCCUCUUUAAAGAGUAAAGUAGAAUGAAAUGAUGAGCACUAAGAGAGUUUUUUCAUGUUCUUAGUCUGAUGAUAUUUUGAUUACACUGUGCUGUUCAUUGUAUGGGAUCUUGCAUAGCAGAAUUUCUUCUGGAUGGUGAUCGGGAUGGUCCACUGAAGAAGACCAUCGAUGAUUUGGAGGAGCAUGAUUCUGAUGCUCUUGGGUUCUGUCGCAGGGUGGCUUCAAAUUACUCAAAACAACUGUUUGCAAUUUAUCAGAACAAGGAGGACCCUUAGUUUCAUCCAUAGCUUUGGUAACCCGUAUACCGUAGGCUUACCUUUCGUCCCUUGUAAUGUUUUAUCAUCUGUCUGCCUUGCUGUUUUCACUCUUUUGUACAUAUGUGUUUAGUUAUUGGAUCUUCUGGAGAAGUUAGGACCGGUUAACUUUGGCCCUGAUGUCUCACUAGGAUGCUUGUGUAGCAAAACGAGUGUCCUAUCGUGUUUGUGUUCUAGUCUUGUGGAUGCUUAAGUGCCUGUGCUGCACCCCUGUUUAAUACAUCCUUGAGAGACUCUGCUUAUUCACUUGGGGGCAUGAAGCCUCCCUUCCUGCAAAUGAACAAUUACUUAAUAAUACUUCCAAAGUCAUAUGCACUUAUGAGUGCUUUUGAUCUAAGAGUUCAUGAUAACGUUUUUAUACAAGAGAUGAAUUCUAGUGUAGGUUAAAUAUUAAUAACAACUAAGGCCCAUUUGGAUUCUUGGAAUUGAAUUCCAUUCUAAUAAUCAUAAUUUAGACACAAAUUAAUUAAGUUAGACCAAUUGAAUUCUUGCACAUUUGAAUUCUAAUAAUCAUAACAACUAAGGCCCCAUUUGAAUUCUUGCACAUUACAAACAUAGCAUGAUAAUUUAAAGAAUCAAUUUACAUCUCCCACCCUAUGAAUUUAAGAUAGACUUAUAUCUAAAUUUUGAAAAGUUGUGGAAUGUCACGUUCCAAGACAAAUAGCCUACUAGAUUCCAAUUCCUUCAAAAUGAAGGGAUCCAAACGGGGCCUAAUAGAAUUUCAGCAGAGUCAUGCAGUUGCUUUUGAUGCAAAACAAUAAUAAUUGGAACACAUUGGAACACCCCCACUAAUUUACCUGGCCAAGUCCAUCGUAAGCUGCGGACGAUCAGGGGCCUCAAUGAGGUGUUAUCACGUUCUUAUUCUCUCAACCAGCUAUCGGUGGCAGUUUUUUACAAUUGUUAAAUUUUGUGCAAACAUUUAGAAAAUAAAAUAAUCUCUGUACAAUUUUGUGAAAAAUAAUACGUGCACAAUUUCUGAAUAAAUCAACUCAAGUUGUUUGGACAAUCACCAUGGAUUGAUGGAUGUCUCGCCGCCACCGGCAUCUCGUUAGCGGAAAAUGCAAGCAUCAGUCCUUGGAGACUCAAACUGGGUGGACAAGUCUACCAUAAAAAACUUGACAAAUUAAACUGCGUAGCAAUCACUAUUAUUGUUGAGAGGGUAUGUUUUUAUUAUUGUAUUUUUGUGCUAAUGGUGUUGAGUGACAGAUAGAGCUCUCUAUUUUGUUUUCUCGUAAAGAAGAAAUGGCUGUGAUCAUUAUUCAGUCAGUGGAAUCACACCUCGCAUAAGGUGCUGGUGCUGCCAUUGCCGAAACAUUUGAGAUCUCUGGGUGGUGUGGUACACACUGGUGCUGUGGCUAUCAUGUAAGUUGGUCUAAUCCACAAUCAAAAGUGAUCGAUCAACAGAGUGUUGGUUUGAGUUAUGGUACCGUCCAGAACCAUCCAGAUAUAAACUUGGAUCCUAAUCGCUCCAGUUGCUUUGAAAUCUCUUCUCUACUCUAAAAAAACGCAAAGAGGCGACGUCCCAUGCUAAACUGAUUUUGCGCCGUCAGUUCUUUUCCCGAGCACCGCCUCAAUCCCACCGCGAUCCGUGUUCCUCCGAUAGAACCCAGUACAUGACAACCUCCCUGUUUCCCUAAUCCCUAACGAGAGCUCGAGACGUCUCCCCAUCGAUCCCGCCGCCUCGCCUCCGCCAUCGAUCAUGCCAUCGUCGCCAACCCAAGCCGCCCUCCGCCUCCUCCACUCGGCACUGAGGUCUCUCAAGCCCGUCCUUCACCGCCUCCACUCAGCGCUGAGGUCUCUCGAGCCCAUGCUGCCAUCUACUUCGUCCUGGGCAAAGGAUCACCAUCAGACGAUGGGAAUUGGGAACAGGUGUCAUGGUCAAUGUCGUCGCUGUAUCGAUCCAUCCUGCAACCACAAGGAACCAAUAUAAAGGUUAAAUCUCCAGAUCAUCAUGUGAAUUUUGCCUCACCGCUCCUGCCACUUCAAUUUCUCCUUGCAUUGUUUUGUAGUGUCAAAAUAGUGGUCGAUGUGUUUAAUUUGUACCUUCUCCAGAAGCUAAAGAAAGAUUACAUACUCCAGUGAUAGAGGAAUUUCCAGGUGAGUAGGAUGAAUACCAAUUUUAUCUCCCAGUUAGGGAUUUUAAACUUUACUCCUCACCUCGAAAUUUUACAGUGAAGUUAUUUGAUUCUACUUAACCGUCGACAGCACCGACAUGCACUCAAUUUUUUAUUCAACCAUCAAUAAGACUCGGUGACUGAAUUGUAUUAGAAAUCUAGGAUCUUAAGAGCUUUCAUCUGGCGAGUGCCGCUUUUACGUGGUAGUUCUUCUAGCGAGCAUACAAUUCCUAACAUGGAUUUUUCUAAUCUAGACAGUGUGGUGCAAUUGUAUGUAAUCAGAAAGAACAAGAAAGAAUUAGUACAAUCUAAGAACUGUAAUCAUGGGUACAAUCUAAGAACUGCAGAUAUACAUAUCUUCUGAUUUAUUCUUGUGCUAUUCAGAAACAAGAACACCAACAGCUCUAAAGCAUAAAUCCAUUUUAAGUCAAUAUGCUUGUUUUUAGGUUGUGGUAUAGAUGCCCUAAAAAGGGUCAUGGGAAUCUGACAUGUCAAUUUAUAAUAUGUAAGCCCAUAUGCUCACAUGCAUCAUCAAUAUUAGUGCAGGAUGAUAUAUAUGCUCUUAUCGCCGCCCCAAUCAAAAUGAUCAUAAUCAGCUGCAUACAAAAUAAAUCUAAGAUGAGAAAAAAGAAAGAAGAUCUUUCUCACAUUUUCUAAUCCAAUCAGACAUUCGGACUAGACACUGGAAGCAACAUGCACCAGAUAUCACAUAUGCUUUUAAAAUUGUACUAUUUUGUGUUGUAUCAAGAAUUACCAACAUCACGGUUGCACAUAUGAUCGACAGAGAAGGUUCUUACAAUAAUUGUUGCCGACAGGCCUACGUUCACGCAAUCAACAGGUUUGGAAACUGUUAGCAAAAGCUAAAAGUUUGUCCUCCUGGCGUUUCAGGUUCCUCUCCUUUUGUGCAAAGACAUAAGAAGUCCAGAAUGCCAGAGAAGGGAAGAAAAAGGAGACAACAGUGAGUAAAACAUACUGCACCAAAAGUGUUUGUCCAUGGACGGAGAUGGGCUACAGUUCUAAGAAAUUCUCUUCAUGCCCGUUUCUUCUGUAUAGGAAAAGAUGUGGGGUCAAUUUUCCCAAUCUGCAAGAAGCAAAAAAUAAAAUAAAAUUAGAACACAAGAAAAGAACUAUAAGGCACAAAGGAUAUGGUUCUCAGACUCUGCAAGUCCUUGGUCUAACCGUCUUAGUGUGAUCAAUUAUCACCAAUCAGAAGUGUAGCAUAAGAAAAAAAGUUCCAUAGCUUGAAUAUUACACAAAUUCACAGAGGCAACCAUAUUUACAGAUUGUGUACUAACUUGUAAGUUACCGUAGGGAACAAAUCAUACAAAUAGAUAAAGGACGACACUUGAUAAGAUGCAUUUCAAUUUCUGGUUGAGUAAUGGAAGGAAAGAAUCAUUUCCAGUCUCAUGGUCAACAAACCUAUGCACCUUUAUAUACUGAAAGAAACUAAAAAGAAACUCGAAUUGGUGACUUUUGAAGUCCAGAAUGCCAGAGAAGGGAAGAAAAAGGAUGGCUGACCCCUUUGUAGGUUGUUGCGGUUCAAAAUGAAGCAGGCAUGCAGAACAUUUCAUUUUUCAUUCUAAUAGUGUUGUCCAACAGAUCCUUACGUGGAGCAACAAACUGUCAUGAUUCCAGAUAUCGAUGGACAUUGCUAGCAUACAACACAAACUUGAAUCACCAGUUCAAAGUACUGCAAAAAAAUGACUCUAAGACAAAAAUAAAUCAAGUCAUCAAUUGGGCUUAGUAAUGGCUAGUUGGAGCAUUGGACAAGAUAUUAUAGGUCCCAUAUGGAGGAAUGAUUACAAAACAUAAUGCUAGCACUGAAUCUGGCUCCACUAAACUCCAUUAAAGAUUUGUGCUACUAUGCUCGCUGAAAAAAUGAAUUGCAGAAACCAAGCAAUAUUGUAGCAGUGGAGUAGUGUGGGUGAGAGCUCGACAUGUGGUGGAUACAACUUUGACUCAAGUCUAUGUGUACACCAAACAAGAAGGUAAUCAUGCAAUCUAGAUGCAAUCUCGAUGAUUUCUCUAAAGGAUUCAGAAAUUCAAUUGAAGCAUUUCUUGUUAAUGCUGCAUUCGGCAGUGUCUAUCCAAUUUCCCUGAAAUCAUAUCUUCCUCUCUUCAUAUCUGAAGCAACAGGAUUUUUUUCCUUACACUUUUAAUUAUGACUGGAAUGGAACCCUCAACAUCUGUCAGGUAUUUGUCAUUUCCAGUGAUGAAGGCAAGUUUAUCAGCUGAUUUAACCACUGCCUGUAUAACACAUGGGACAACAUGGUUGAAAUCAAAUAAAUGGUUCAGAUAUGCAAUGUGUCUAUUACUUUUGCCUACAUACGAAUGACUAUUGAUCAGAAAUUCAUGCACGCACUAACUCUGAAGACAUUGAUUAAGUAGUCAAAUACCUUCUCCACCAUGAAAGAGGGCUCUCCACUCUCGGUCUUGCGCCGCCCGAUGACGGCAGCCAGCAUGCCCUCUUCGAUUACUUCAGCAUCAGUGAAAGCAAAAUCAAUCUAUACGUCAGUGAGCAGAGCAUAGUUUCAGAUGUUGUUCUUCCCGUGUUAUAAGAAGAGGUUUACAGCUGAUGGUUACAGGCGUACAUAGAACCUGGCUCGUUGGCGCCGUGUCCCCGGCGAGGAGAGGAGGAGGGUGGGCUGGUGGCGCCGGCUGUGCAGGAAGACCGUGCCGAGGAGGAGGGCGGCGCCGGCUGCGCAGGGAGACAGAGGAGAGGAGGAGGGCGGGCGAGGCCAGUUGCGCAGGGAGAGGAGGAGGGCGGCGGCGGCGGCAAAGCAGGCAGAGCGAGUCGAGGUCAGGCAGAAUGCGGGCGGCGGCGGCGUUGCAGGCCGAGCGAGCCGAAGUGAUGCGGAUUGCGGGUGGCGACGGCGAUGCAGGGCGAGGGAGGAGGAGUAGGCGAGCGAGGGGAACAUCGGAUGGCGGAGCAUGAAGCGUGGGGCUGGAGGAGGAGCAGCGGACGGCGCGCGUCGUGGGCUUCGAAGGGUGUUCCAUUGGAGAGUGGACCGGGUUGCGCGGAGGAUGCGGGAGCCAGCGGACGGUUGAACGGAGCGGAGGAUAAACGACAUAUGAAGAAUUUUCUUCUCUUUGGUUUUUUUAGGAGUAGAGAAGAGAAGAGAUAGAGAAGAGAUGGUUUUUUUAGAGUAGAGAUAGAGAAUAUUCGGUCUAUACGUAUGUAUUGCCAUGACUUAGAGUUACUUAUGGGUAACUAGGUUAUGUUUCUUGGUUAUAUCGGUCGGUGUUUUCAAUUUGCUUUUUUUAUCCCGAUUGUUAUCAACACGUUUACCUGUGAACUGGUUCGGUUUGGAUACCAAGUGAAUUCGUGUUCAUUUUCAUUUUCGACCAUCUUUUUAUUAAGUUUAUUGCAAUUAGGCUUGGAUGCUGAGGUAGCUUGGCUUGGCUCGUUAGCCUAACGAGCCAAUACCAAAUGAGCAAAAUGUUUGUCUCAACUCGGCUCGUUAGUAGCUCGAGCCACCUUGUUAGGCUCGCGAGUGAGAUGUUAAUUUGGGAUUACCAUCUCAACGUAUAGGAAAUGUAAAAAAAUAGUAAUUAUAUAGUAAAAUCCACCAUGAGCACUUCGGCUAGCUCGGCUUCAAUAGCUCGACUCACUAUGUUGAGCCUUUAGCCUUCUAGCUGGCUAGCUCGCGGCUCGCGAGCUAGCUUGAACUAGCUCAUUACUGAAACGAACAAAGUAGCUGCUCCGUUCAUUAAAACAUCCACCGAGCUAAGCCGAGCUACGAACGAACUGAGCCACGUUAUGAAUAAGAUUAUUUCUCAUAAUUUUAAUGGGUUUAAGGCUUAUUUAACAAUAAAUUUUGGAAUUUUUAGAAUUUUAAUGUAUUAUUUUCAUUUUAGGUGAUGCCACGAAUAGCAAUUUUAGAGGACCACCCACAUCCAAUGCACAUCUACUAUCAGUAGAUCUUAGAGAACGGGGGAGGCACCAGGAUAGGGACUAAUAUGCUCAAAUAACUAUCCAAAAGAAGGAAACAUUACUAAAAAACUGUCGUGAAAUUGUGCAAGUCGAACGUCAUCAAUUUUUUAGAGGUGGAGGUCCUAUGUACAUGAUGGGCGGGAGGUCCCAUGUAAAGCUACUCAGACUUGGCAUGAUAUUUACAUAAAAACUCAACUUAUGUACAUGAUGGGAGGAUAAUGUUGCAGAACUUCUUCAUCAUCGUUUGGCGCAUGAAGCGAAUGGGUAUCGAAGGCAUAUUCCUGCCAACGUACCUAACUCUGUAAAUACUUAUUUAAUAUUUCAAUUUUUUCACUUAUUAUUUUGUUGUUGAAUGCCUUUUGGAUGAAAUAUUUAUUAUUAUCUUCAUAUUAUUAUUGUUUUACUAAAUCAUCAUUGCAUUAUAAUAUAAAUAUUUUGUUGCUCGUAGCAACGCAUCGUACGACCCUAGUCUAAUUUUAAACUCUCAUUUAUAUUUCUAGAUACUGAAUGGCCCUUUCAAAUCCUACGGCGUGUGAGAAUUGAAAACGGGCAUGAGGGAAUUUUUUUUUAUAUGUAUACGGCAGUUUGGAGAAUUUGGUCUCCUGUUGCAGAAAGCUUCUGACGGAGGAGAAAGGGCCACGUCGUCACCGAGGAAUCUUUGCAUGCGACAGCAACCAGGCCCACCCAGCAGGAUGCCCCCCUACCUGUCUGUCUUGUCGCCUCCUAAUUAGGAACGGGCACAAAAAAAAAUGUGUUGACGUGGACAUAUAAAAGCGCGAUUUCUAGGUCUCCUCCUUUCCUCCCAGCCCCGAACACCAGCGGGCCGCCGCCGCCGCACACCCGCGUCGCUCCCUCUCUCCUUCUUCCCGGCGGCGGGGUCGCGGCCUCCUCCCUCCCUCCGGCCGCGGCUCCUCCUCCCUCCCCUCCGGCCGCGGCUCCUCCUCUCCCGGCGCAGGGGCGCGGCCUCCCGGCGCCCCUGUCCUCCCCACCGGCGCCCGCAGCCCUCAGAUCCGGCGGCCGGCAGCGUCGGGGUCGAGGCGAGGGGGCGCGGCCUCCUCUCCCGGCGCGGGGGCUCCUCCCUGCCGGCGGCCGCAGCUCGUCCUCCGCGGCGUCAGCCGCGGGUCCCACGCCCCCCACCUGACACGCCCGCGACCGCGACUCCUGGAGGUCUCCUGUAGCGACCUGGAGGAUUGCGGCGCGUUUACCGUGCUGCGGUGCAGCAGUUGGAUCGGCAAAUGUGGCGUCCAGGCUCUUUCGGAGUACUGCGGUGCGGAUAGCCUAAGAUCUUGCUCCUCGAUUUGAAAAUUGCUUUAUCUUAUUUGAUCAAGGAUAGGUUGUUGUUGUUGUAACGAUGUUCUUAUAUCUAUGCCUAACAUCUGCAUGCGAGGCACCCCUAACCCUUUUUUAUCAUUGUAAUUAACUUUCAAAAGUUGCAUAUAGACUAAUAUGAUGUGCUGUCUAAACUAGGUAGACACCUCUGUCGGACCCAAUAUUUGAAGCCAGAUGUGUGGAGAGGUUAAUCACUCCCCUCACCGGCAGUGGAUGCAGCCACACUGCUGCCUGCAAAACAUCUUUAUUGCUUCAACGCAAGGAAGGCUCUAGAAGCAUCUAGUUUGUCUAUGAUUGCUUCUCAUAUAUUUUUAUGCAAGGAAGGCUCUAGAAGCAUUUGGUUUGUCCAUGCAGAUGAUCUUAAUUACCUGGUUAUCAAUUAGCUUAAGCAAAGCUAAUUUCAUGCUUGCCACCCUCACACAACAUCGGGAUGCGUUUUGCACGAGAAGCAACGGCAAGGUUUGCCUUCUACAGCAGUCUAGUUUCUUGUUACCAUUGUCUAAUAAUCAAUACCAUCUUAAGCAUCAUGCGAUAGUUGAAGCAGGAAACAUGCACAUGCGCUCACCUUCCGGUUGCAUUUCAUCACAUAAAAGUGCCACAAACUAGCAAUACAACGAUAGGUAGCUUUAUGUGAAUUCGCAUUAAUAAUCCAUGCCACACAUACAAUAGCGAUAGUAGAUAGAAAGUUUAUCAUAUAGUAGUAGCUUGAGUAACUUCCAUGUUGUUUGGUUAAUGCUGCCUAUGAUAGUUGAUGAUCUUCUUGUUUGGUCUAGACGUACCUUCAGUUCUGUAAACAUAUUAAAUUAUCAGAGCAUGCACAACAAAUCCAAGUUAUGAUAAACAACUGACACAUCCUGAUUCUGGAUUAGGAACUCACAAAUUUGAAAAUUGCUUUAUCUUAUUUGAUCAAGGAUAGGUUGUUGUUGUUGUAACGAUGUUCUUAUAUCUAUGCCUAACAUCUGCAUGCGAGGCACCCCUAACCCUUUUUUAUUAUUGUAAUUAACUUUCAAAAGUUGCAUAUAGACUUAUAUGAUGUGCUGUCUAAACUAGGUAGGCACCUCUGUCGGACCCAAUAUUUGAAGCCAGAUGUGUGGAGAGGUUAAUCACUCCCCUCACCGGCAGUGGAUGCAGCCACACUGCUGCCUGCAAAACAUCUUUAUUGCUUCAACGCAAGGAAGGCUCUAGAAGCAUUUGGUUUGUCCAUGCAGAUGAUCUUAGUUACCUGGUUAUCAAUUAGCUUAAGCAAAGCUAAUCUCAGGCUUGCCACCCUCACACAACAUCGGGAUGCGUUUUGCACGAGAAGCAACGGCAAGGUUUGCCUUCUACAGCAGUCUAGUUUCUUGUUACCAUUGUCUAAUAAUCAAUACCAUCUUAAGCAUCAUGCGAUAGUUGAAGCAGGAAACAUGCACAUGCGCUCACCUUCCGGUUGCAUUUCAUCACAUAAAAGUGCCACAAACUAGCAAUACAACGAUAGGUAGCUUUAUGUGAAUUCGCAUUAAUAAUCCAUGCCACACAUACAAUAGCGAUAGUAGAUAGAAAGUUUAUCAUAUAGUAGUAGCUUGAGUAACUUCCAUGUUGUUUGGUUAAUGCUGCCUAUGAUUGUUGAUGAUCUUCUUGUUUGGUCUAGACGUACCUUCAGUUCUGUAAACAUAUUAAAUUAUCAGAGCAUGCACAGCAAAUCCAAGUUGAAAAUUAAUUACAAUGAUAAACAACUGACACAUCCUGAUUCUGGAUUAGGAACUCGCAAAUUUGAAAAUUGCUUUAUCUUAUUUGAUCAAGGAUAGGUUGUUGUUGUUGUAACGAUGUUCUUAUAUCUAUGCCUAACAUCUGCAUGCGAGGCACCCCUAACCCUUUUUUAUUAUUGUAAUUAACUUUCAAAAGUUGCAUAUAGACUAAUAUGAUGUGCUGUCUAAACUAGGUAGGCACCUCUGUCGGACCCAAUAUUUGAAGCCAGAUGUGUGGAGAGGUUAAUCACUCCCCUCACCGGCAGUGGAUGCAGCCACACUGCUGCCUGCAAAACAUCUUUAUUGCUUCAACGCAAGGAAGGCUCUAGAAGCAUUUGGUUUGUCCAUGCAGAUGAUCUUAGUUACCUGGUUAUCAAUUAGCUUAAGCAAAGCUAAUCUCAGGCUUGCCACCCUCACACAACAUCGGGAUGCGUUUUGCACGAGAAGCAACGGCAAGGUUUGCCUUCUACAGCAGUCUAGUUUCUUGUUACCAUUGUCUAAUAAUCAAUACCAUCUUAAGCAUCAUGCGAUAGUUGAAGCAGGAAACAUGCACAUGCGCUCACCUUCCGGUUGCAUUUCAUCACAUAAAAGUGCCACAAACUAGCAAUACAACGAUAGGUAGCUUUAUGUGAAUUCGCAUUAAUAAUCCAUGCCACACAUACAAUAGCGAUAGUAGAUAGAAAGUUUAUCAUAUAGUAGUAGCUUGAGUAACUUCCAUGUUGUUUGGUUAAUGCUGCCUAUGAUUGUUGAUGAUCUUCUUGUUUGGUCUAGACGUACCUUCAGUUCUGUAAACAUAUUAAAUUAUCAGAGCAUGCACAGCAAAUCCAAGUUGAAAAUUAAUUACAAUGAUAAACAACUGACACAUCCUGAUUCUGGAUUAGGAACUCGCAAAUUUGAAAAUUGCUUUAUCUUAUUUGAUCAAGGAUAGGUUGUUGUUGUUGUAACGAUGUUCUUAUAUCUAUGCCUAACAUCUGCAUGCGAGGCACCCCUAACCCUUUUUUAUCAUUGUAAUUAACUUUCAAAAGUUGCAUAUAGACUAAUAUGAUGUGCUGUCUAAACUAGGUAGGCACCUCUGUCGGAC